UACAAGGACUUAUAUUUAGGAACGGAGGGAGUAGUUCUCUACUUAAAUACGUGCAGCCUGCAAGUGAUAUGGGGCUGCAUGACUGUUGAAGGUUGGCAGUAGGAUUCUGUACGGCAUAUGACCGAUAGCAUCUGUGUAUCUUUCGGCGAUGGAACAUUAGCUAGUUUUGUUUGCUUGACUGGUUAUUGAAAACUGGGGGCUUCUUGUUUUCAAAAUCAGGCUGUUUGUAAUAAUGAACAUGCUGCUGUCAUGUGAUAUCUCUUAAAAAGAUAUUUGUCCUUGUUCAAGAAAUACAAAGUCUGCUGCAAUUUAGUUUGCAGUUCUUGGGUCUCUUGUCUAAUUGCACAUGUGUGUAGGUUCUGGGAUAUGACCCGGCAUCACACCUCAGCGGCACACAGUUUUUACCGCGUUGGUUUCUACUGCAACAACCAAUGUAUCUCCUGCAGUUGGUGUGUGAAGAAAAUUAAGCUGAUCGUGCUCCGGUAGCGCUCGGCGCCGAGAGAGGGGGAUUGAGCCGAGCAGGGGAGCGCCUUGUGGGAACUUGCACGCAGGAGGCGAUGGCAGGCUGUGGCAUAUGCAAGGACACGUGGCGGCUGAUGGAUUCAGGUAAAGAUAAAGAUUUGGAUCACCAAUACUGGUUUACUUCUAUCGUUGGGACUUUUAGAAGGCCAAGAUGAAAUUUCAUCCUAGCUAAAAAAAAGACUUUCACCAGUGGUCCAGCGCCGAUGGUGUUUGGCUAGACACCUUGGUUGGCAACUUGGCAUGGUCCAGCAACGCGUCAUCUCUUUGAUCCAGAUUUAGAGACUUCAACCUGGUCGCGACGACCAUCUUCUUAGCGGCUAGCUAGGGCUUAUGGGAUAGUGAAUGUUCAUUGUAAGAUAGUCAUGAGCCGAGCUAAAGCUCAACCUGGUGUACGUCGCCACCGACUACCCCAAUGGGUAUCGCUCCCACCUCGGUUUGGCUCCACCCCUUGACCCCUUCAGGCUCCGGGUGAAAGUUUUGAUCUGCAGCAGCGUUCAGGAUAUGUUUUUGUAAUAAGAUUUUAUCAACACCUUGUACUGACCUCGACUGCUUUGGCAUUUAUAGUCGUGAUGUAAAGCCAUUCAUCUAGAAAAUGAUUGCACUCUAGGAAA